rnacentral:rRNA from 2 species
ACGACUCUCGACAACGGAUAUCUUGGCUCUCGCAUCGAUGAAGAACGUAGCGAAAUGCGAUACUUGGUGUGAAUUGCAGAAUCCCGUGAACCAUUGAGUCUUUGAACGCAAGUUGCGUCCGAAACCAUUAGGUUGAGGGCACGUCUGCCUGGGUGUCACGU